rnacentral:rRNA from 1 species
UACAGAGGUCUCAAGCGUUGUUCGGAUUCAUUGGGCGUAAAGGGUGCGUAGGUGGCGCGCUAAGUCAGGUGUGAAAUUUCGGAGCUUAACUCCGAAACUGCAUUUGAUACUGGCGUGCUUGAGGACUGGAGAGGAGACUGGAAUUCAUGGUGUAGCAGUGAAAUGCGUAGAGAUCAUGAGGAAGACCAGUGGCGAAGGCGGGUCUCUGGACAGUUCCGUGACACU